rnacentral:tRNA from 1 species
GCGCCCGUAGCUCAAUUGGAUAGAGCGUCUGACUACGGAUCAGGAGGNUGAGGGUUCGAGUCCUUCCGGGCGCGCCA